rnacentral:lncRNA from 1 species
GCUGUUAUAACAUCUAUGAACCCUUAAUUUAAUUAAAUCUCAGACCCAGAUUUAUAUUGCACAUGAAGAUAUGUAAUCACAUACAUAUACAUUAUAUACAUUAUAUAUCUAUGUGAGCUAUCUUGAUUUACAUCUCCAAUUCCCCAUUUAAUAACUGAAUAUCUAGAGCUUAGGGCACAGAUUUGUAGGGUUCUCAAUCUUAUCCCACAAACACAAAAGAAAAAGGAAGAAUAUAGAGCAAGAAUGUUUCAUAUUUUCAUGUAUACAGAUCUGACCUAUAUAAUGUCAUUGAGUUAUUUGGUUUGAGUUGUGAAUCUGAACUCCCUGUGAGCAACUACUCAUUCCCUCUGCAGUUGAACAUCUGACUAACACAUCUAUGCUUAUAUCAACAAGAACCCGGCCCUAGGCAGACUAGAUGAGUACACAAUAAAGAACCCUAACUAGAGGGAUCAGAGAAAUUCUUUGUAGAAACGAUGAACACAGAUCUGUUAUGAACUAAAAGAACCUGAAGAGAAUGAUAUCAAAAUAAUGAUAGAUAAGAACCCUACAAGAAUGAGAAUUAAUAAAUACUAAUAUCUUAUCUAGUUCUUCAUUGUGCAACUCUUGAGAGACUUGUAAGGAUCAGUGUGUGUGUGUAAAAGACAGUUUAUCUUAUCAUUUUAGAGGAAACAUUUUUCACUUUUCACUUGGGUAUGAGAGAACCCUAAGGAACUUGCAGAGAACUAGCAAUAAAUUAUAUGGCUAGGAAAGUAAC